UACGGAGGGGGCUAGCGUUGUUCGGAAUUACUGGGCGUAAAGCGCACGUAGGCGGCUUUGUAAGUCAGAGGUGAAAGCCCGGUGCUCAACAUCGGAAUAGCCUUUGAGACUGCAUCGCUUGAAUCCAGGAGAGGUGAGUGGAAUUCCGAGUGUAGAGGUGAAAUUCGUAGAUAUUCGGAAGAACACCAGUGGCGAAGGCGGCUCACUGGACUGGUAUUGACGCUGAGGUGCGAAAGCGUGGGGAGCAAACAGG
rnacentral:rRNA from 1 species